UUCUUGAUCGUAUAACGGUUUAGUAUGCUCGCUUGUCAAAUACGUAAUCGUAAACAACGCGGGAGAUCGGGGUUCGAUUCCCCGUCAGGAAG